rnacentral:rRNA from 1 species
CCUACGGGAGGCAGCAGUGAGGAAUAUUGGUCAAUGGACGAGAGUCUGAACCAGCCAAGUAGCGUGAAGGAUGACUGCCCUAUGGGUUGUAAACUUCUUUUAUAUGGGAAUAAAAUGUUCCACGUGUGGGAUUUUGUAUGUACCAUAUGAAUAAGGCUCGGCUAACUCCGUGCCAGCAGCCGCGGUAAUACGGAGGAUCCGAGCGUUAUCCGGAUUUAUUGGGUUUAAAGGGAGCGUAGGUGGAUUUUUAAGUCAGUUGUGAAAGUUUGCGGCUCAACCGUAAAAUUGCAGUUGAAACUGGCAGUCUUGAGUACAGUAGAGGUGGGCGGAAUGCGUGGUGUAGCGGUGAAAUGCUUAGAUAUCACGAAGAACUCCGAUUGCGAAGGCAGUUCACUGGACUGCAACUGACACUGAGGCUCGAAAGUGUGGGUAUCAAACAGGAUUAGAUACCCCAGUAGUC